GAUGAACGCUAGCGGCAGGCCUAACACAUGCAAGUCGAGGGGUAGAAGUUGCUUGCUCCUUUGAGUCCGGCGCACGGGUGCGUAACGCGUAUGCAAUCUACCUUGUACAGGGGACUAGCCCAGAGAAAUUUGGAUUAAUGCCCCUUAGUAUAUAACCUUCGCAUGUUGGUUAUAUUAAAGUUCCAAUGCUACAAGAUGAGCAUGCGUCGCAUUCGUUAGUUGUUAAGGUAACGGCUUACCAAGACGAUGCUGUGUAGGGGUUCUGAGAGGGACAUCCCCCACACUGAUACUGAGACACGGAUCAGACGCGUGCGAGAAGCAGCAGUGAGGAAGAUUGGGAAAAGGGCGCAAGACAGAACCAGCGAGGCAGCGUGCAGGAAGACGGGCCUAUGGAUUGUAAACUGCUGUUAUACAGGAAGAAAACCGCCCACGUGUGAGAGAUUGACGGUACUGAAGGAAUAAGGAUCGGCUAACUACGUG
rnacentral:rRNA from 1 species